GGACCUGCCCUGGGCUUUCUAGUCUCAGCUCUCCUCCAGCUCAGCUGGUCAGGAGAGCUGAGACUAGAAAGCCCAGGGCAGGUUC
ensembl:miRNA MIR3160-1 microRNA 3160-1